rnacentral:rRNA from 1 species
UUGGGUUAAGUCCCGCACGAGCGCAACCCCUAUUGUUAGUUGCCAUCAUUCAGUUGGGCACUCUAGCGAGACUGCCGGUAAUAAACCGGAGGAAGGUGGGGAGUGACGUCAAAUCAUCAUGCCCCUUAUGACCUGGGCUACACACGUGCUACAAUGGUUGGUACAACGAGUUGCGAGUCGGUGACGGCGAGCUAAUCUCUUAAAGCCAAUCUCAGUUCGGAUUGUAGGCUGCAACUCGCCUACAUGAAGUCGGAAUCGCUAGUAAUCGCGGAUCAGCACGCCCGCGGUCGAAUACGUUCCCGGGCCUU